ensembl:lncRNA
CCCAAACGGAGGGGGAACCCGCCCGCACCGCAAGUGCCCCUGUACUGUUCUUCAGCACCUGCCGCUCAAGAGUUUUCUCCACAAGCAGCCAGAAAGAUGUUGGGUCAGGUUGAGCCCCCCCCCGCAAGGACAGAAUUUCCUCACCUGCUCAAAACGCUAAAUCCCGGCGAGUACCGUGACUACAGCAGCCCAGCAGCUCCGCUGGUGAGCAGGCUCUGGAGCCCAGGAGGGAAGUAAGCGAGACUGAGUUGCAGCGCAACAAAUUGCAGAAGAGCCGAAAUCUGCCCCCACCCCCCAGCUGCACUGCACAGCCCGUUUGCGGAUACCAUGUGUCGAGGGACGGCUUGCACAUCGAUGAAGCGGACUAGUAGUGGCAUUUGCUAAUUCACUAACCUCUUUUGAAUGCUGUUGCUCCAGUAGAGAAUAGAGUACAAUAGCAGCACUUUGUCGACAGCUGCUCUGACCCUACUUUGUGUUAUAUCAGCAUCUCCCUUUGCGGUCACUCUUUUAUCUCAGAUCAGUUUUGAAGGCAGGACAGACCUGUCCUUAGUGGAGACCUACUGCUUCUGGCAUACACAAGAUGGCGUGCUGUUGAAAAUGAGCACGGUGAAGCCUUAUUCCGUUUUUGUUCACGGACAGACACCCCAAGCCACGUCAGAGCAGUUGGGCUGACCGCAAGGAAAACGUCUUCUAGCAGAAGAAACUGCAGAGCGUAAAGAGAAAGGGAGAAUCGACACCUCAAGAUCAAGCUUUUUUUCAGAAAUGGCAAGAAAGAUUUGAGGCCCUCAUGCAAGAGCAGGAUUUCCCCUGCCUGCUCAAAAUUUAUGGUAUGAACGUCGCCACACCGCCAGCACCGAGCAGAUGCGGCUAGGCCAGCGACGCCGCAGCCUCGGGAGGACCUAGGGCAGCGUUGGGGCUGUAUCACCGUGCCCCGUAUGGCUCUUGCCCACCUACGUCUGCUGUCGCUGGUCCUGGGGGUACCAGGCCCUCUGACCCACGUUCCCAAACUCACAAAAGCUACGGUUAUUGUGUGAAUAGCAGUAGUGGCCUUCAACGGGAUCAAGUCCCAGCUGCGCUACGUGCAGACGUACAUGCAGACAGGCGGAUGGGUCUGGAUGCGAUGAGCGGAGCAACGGAGGAGACACAAGGCAAGAGCACGGGAGGGGGGGAGGAGGAAGCCUCUGGCUGGCUUUUUCUGCCAGUGCAGUUUCCUGGGGGAAGCAGGGCCAGACGGGUGCCAGCGCACGGGGAGCAGCAGCACCGCAGUCACAGGCGGGGAGAGGGCUGUCUCGGCCAUGACCACAGGUGAAGUCGAGCAGACUAGCUUAAAUAAAUCCCUAACGUUUAAAAGUUAGAGAUAAACU